rnacentral:rRNA from 1 species
GGGUUGUGAGGUUAAGCGACUAAGCGUACACGGUGGAUGCCCUGGCAGUCAGAGGCGAUGAAGGACGUGCUAAUCUGCGAUAAGCGCCGGUAAGGUGAUAUGAACCGUUAUAACCGGCGAUUUCCGAAUGGGGAAACCCAGUGUGAUUCGUCACACUAUCAUUAACUGAAUCCAUAGGUUAAUGAGGCGAACCGGGGGAACUGAAACAUCUAAGUACCCCGAGGAAAAGAAAUCAACCGAGAUUCCCCCAGUAGCGGCGAGCGAACGGGGAGGAGCCCAGAGCCUGAAUCAGCAUGUGUGUUAGUGGAAGCGUCUGGAAAGGCGCGCGAUACAGGGUGACAGCCCCGUACACAAAAGCGCAUGUGCUGUGAGCUCGAUGAGUAGGGCGGGACACGUGGUAUCCUGUCUGAAUAUGGGGGGACCAUCCUCCAAGGCUAAAUACUCCUGACUGACCGAUAGUGAACCAGUACCGUGAGGGAAAGGCGAAAAGAACCCCGGCGAGGGGAGUGAAAAAGAACCUGAAACCGUGUACGUACAAGCAGUGGGAGCACAGGUUUACCUGUGUGACUGCGUACCUUUUGUAUAAUGGGUCAGCGACUU